UGGUGUUUGCUUGAGAGGCCAGUGCCACUCUAGAUCUCAUGUUGUUGCCUGUAUUUAUGUCCUGUUACCUGCUGCCAUGCACUUUCCUUGCUACUCAUAAAUGCUACUCAUUUAUGUGUAAACAUUUGGAGAAGGGUCAGUCAGUUAUCGUCUUAUCAACUACCUCUGAAAAGUAGGUAUUUAACAAAUAUUUUUGUCACUCUUUUUGUUGACGAAAUGAACACUCAUGCACACAUUCUCCAUUGCACUCUAAUACACAAUCCUAUUACCUGUUCCAAGAACUGAGUUUCAAAACAGCCAUUCCAAAAACGACACCUGUUGGGCCUGGUUGGAACUCAAAGAUUUUGUGACAUCUGAAUCUUCGAACAUCAUCGGUCGCGUGGUGUUGUACACUGCAUCGAAAACAAAGCUCUGAAAACUGAACGGUGUUUCGGAGCAUCGUGUUCAUUCGUCCUAUCCCUAACGAGCGGGUAUAACCCUUGAUUUUAUGUAGCAGGUAGAUUAGAGAUGUGGUAGGUUAGAGAGUGCUAGGCUGGUAAGGGGCAGGGAAGAGUAGGCUUUUUAGUUUCCUUUCUUUGAUUUUGACCCCAUUUGUUCAGCCCUUCUCUACCCCUGUAGUGUUACUCUGUGUAUGUAUAUUUGUAAAAAUCGUACUAAUUAUUUACUGAACAUUCCCCAUGGGGGUAACUGGUGUCUUUGUGUCCAUUCUUGUUAU